rnacentral:rRNA from 1 species
GACGAACGCUGGCGGCGUGCUUAACACAUGCAAGUCGAACGGGCUGAAGUGAUAGCUUGCUAUUAUGGAUGCUAGUGGCAAACGGGUGAGUAACGCGUAGGCAACCUGCCCUUCAGAUGGGGACAACACUUCGAAAGAGGUGCUAAUACCGAAUGACGUAUCCAUUCCGCAUGGAGAGGAUACCAAAGGCCGGGCAACCGGUCACUGAAGGAUGGGCCUGCGUCUGAUUAGCUAGUUGAGGGGUAACGGCCCACCAAAGCGACGAUCAGUAGCCGACCUGAGAGGGUGACCGGCCACAUUGGGACUGAGAAACGGCCCAAACUCCUACGGGAGGCAGCAGUGGGGAAUAUUGGGCAAUGGGCGAAAGCCUGACCCAGCAACGCCGCGUGAAGGAAGAAGGUCUUCGGAUUGUAAACUUCUUUUAUCAGGGACGAAGGAAGUGACGGUACCUGAUGAAUAAGCCACGGCUAACUACGUG